rnacentral:rRNA from 1 species
CCUACGGGGGGCAGCAGUGGGGAAUAUUGGGCAAUGGAGGCAACUCUGACCCAGCAACGCCGCGUGAAUGAUGAAGGUCUUCGGAUUGUAAAGUUCUUUUCUAAGGGAAGAAGAAAGUGACGGUACCUUAGGAAUAAGCCACGGCUAACUACGUGCCAGCAGCCGCGGUAAUACGUAGGUGGCAAGCGUUGUCCGGAUUUACUGGGUGUAAAGGGCGUGCAGCCGGGCCGACAAGUCAGAUGUGAAAUCCGCGGGCUUAACCCGCGAACUGCAUUUGAAACUAUAGGUCUUGAGUGCCGGAGAGGUAAUCGGAAUUCCUUGUGUAGCGGUGAAAUGCGUAGAUAUAAGGAGGAACACCAGUGGCGAAGGCGGAUUACUGGACGGUAACUGACGGUGAGGCGCGAAAGCGUGGGGAGCAAACAGGAUUAGAUACCCCUGUAGUC